GAUGAAGAACGUAGCGAAAUGCGAUACGUAAUGUGAAUUGCAAAUUCAGUGAAUCAUCGAGUCUUUGAACGCACAUUGCGCCCCCUGGUAUUCCGGGGGGCAUGCCUGUCCGAGCGUCAUUGCUGCCCUCAAGCACGGCUUGUGUGUUGGGCCCCGUCCUCCGAUCCCGGGGGACGGGCCCGAAAGGCAGCGGCGGCACCGCGUCCGGUCCUCAAGCGUAUGGGGCUUUGUCACCCGCUCUGUAGGCCCGGCCGGCGCUUGCCGAUCAACCCAAAUUUUUAUCCAGGUUGACCUCGGAUCAGGUAGGGAUACCCGCUGAACUUAAGCAUAUCAAUAAGCGGAGGA
rnacentral:misc_RNA from 1 species